rnacentral:rRNA from 1 species
GAUGAACGCUAGCGGCAGGCUUAACACAUGCAAGUCGAGGGGUAUUGGUUUUCGGACCAAGAGACCGGCGCACGGGUGCGUAACGCGUAUGCAAUCUACCUUUUGCAGAGGGAUAGCCCCAGAGAAAUUUGGAUUAAUACCUCAUAGUAUAGUACUUUGGCAUCAAGGAACUAUUAAAGUCACAACGGCAAAAGAUGAGCAUGCGUCCCAUUAGCUAGUUGGUAAGGUAACGGCUUACCAAGGCAACGAUGGUAGGGGUCCUGAGAGGGAGAUCCCCCACACUGGUACUGAGACACGGACCAGACUCCUACGGGAGGCAGCAGUGAGGAAUAUUGGUCAAUGGACGCAAAUCUGAACCAGCCAUGCCGCGUGCAGG